GAUGAACGCUGGCGGCGUGCUUAACACAUGCAAGUCGAACGAAGCAUUUAAGACAGAUUACUUCGGUUUGAAGUCUUUUAUGACUGAGUGGCGGACGGGUGAGUAACGCGUGGGUAACCUGCCUCAUACAGGGGGAUAGCAGCUGGAAACGGCUGGUAAUACCGCAUAAGCGCACAGUACCACAUGGUACAGUGUGAAAAACUCCGGUGGUAUGAGAUGGACCCGCGUCUGAUUAGCUUGUUGGCGGGGUAACGGCCCACCAAGGCGACGAUCAGUAGCCGACCUGAGAGGGUGACCGGCCACAUUGGGACUGAGACACGGCCCAGACUCCUGCGGGAGGCAGCAGUGGGGAAUAUUGCACAAUGGAGGAAACUCUGAUGCAGCGACGCCGCGUGAGUGAAGAAGUAGUUCGCUAUGUAAAGCUCUAUCAGCAGGGAAGAUAGUGACGGUACCUGACUAAGAAGCUCCGGCUAAAUACGUG
rnacentral:rRNA from 1 species